GCGUUCGCUUCGGCAUCACAUACACUAAAAUUGAAACUACAAAGAUUAGCAUGGCACCUGCACAAGAAUGACAUGCAAAUUCAUGAAGUGUUCCAGAUGUGU
ensembl:snRNA U6 U6 spliceosomal RNA